rnacentral:rRNA from 1 species
CGGCCCAGACUCCUACGGGAGGCAGCAGUGGGGAAUAUUGGACAAUGGGCGAAAGCCUGAUCCAGCAAUGCCGCGUGAGUGAAGAAGGCCUUCGGGUUGUAAAGCUCUUUUGUCAGGGAAGAAACGGUAGAGGCUAAUAUCCUUUGCUAAUGACGGUACCUGAAGAAUAAGCACCGGCUAACUACGUGCCAGCAGCCGCGGUAAUACGUAGGGUGCAAGCGUUAAUCGGAAUUACUGGGCGUAAAGCGUGCGCAGGCGGUUUUGUAAGUCUGAGGUGAAAUCCCCGGGCUCAACCUGGGAAUUGCGUUGGAGACUGCAAGGCUGGAGUCUGGCAGAGGGGGGUAGAAUUCCACGUGUAGCAGUGAAAUGCGUAGAGAU